CAGAACCUCUGCCUCCAAAGAGCUCUGGAUAGGACACAAGAGAGUGUCACAGGACAGGAGAAGCAGCCAUCCAGGUGAUAGGGUGGAGGUGGAUGGCCCCCCAGAUCUGUCAUCAGGGAAGACCCUGCAAGGCCUGAGGAAGAAGAGAGCCGAGGGUCAAGGUCAGUGUCCAGGGAUGGGGAAGGCACAAUGGUCAGUCAUUCAGGAUGCAUGGGAGAUGGGGGAUAGGUAUCUGUCACAUCUGCACAGAAGGGGUUAGUGGUCACAGAACAGUCCAAACAGUGUGAU
rnacentral:lncRNA from 1 species